GUGGGGAAUAUUGGACAAUGGGCGCAAGCCUGAUCCAGCCAUGCCGCGUGAGUGAUGAAGGCCUUAGGGUUGUAAAGCUCUUUUGUCCGGGAAGAUAAUGACUGUACCGGAAGAAUAAGCCCCGGCUAACUUCGUGCCAGCAGCCGCGGUAAUACGAAGGGGGCUAGCGUUGUUCGGAAUCACUGGGCGUAAAGCGCACGUAGGCGGACCAUUAAGUCAGGGGUGAAAGCCUGGAGCUCAACUCCAGAACUGCCUUUGAUACUGAUGGUCUCGAGUAUGGAAGAGGUUGGUGGAACUGCGAGUGUAGAGGUGAAAUUCGUAGAUAUUCGCAAGAACACCGGUGGCGAAGGCGGCCAACUGGUCCAUUACUGACGCUGGGGUGCGAAAGCGUGGGGAGCAAACAGGAUUAGAAACCCUGGUAGUCC
rnacentral:rRNA from 1 species